rnacentral:lncRNA from 1 species
GGACAUCUCAUGAUCAAUCACCUUGCUGGUUUUUAUUUUCAGAGACUCUUCUCCUCCUCCUCUCUUCCUUCUUUAGAUCUUCUCUUACUUUGGAGUGUCCAAAGUACUUGAAAAAGAAGGAAGAGAUCAGCUGUCAAAGUUGCUUGCGGGCUACCACCUCCAAGUCCCUGAUCUGCGCCAGUCUUCAUGUGAAUUUUUUUUAUAGAGGUCAGAUGACUCUGUGUGGCUA